rnacentral:rRNA from 1 species
CCUACGGGUGACAGCAGUGGGGAAUAUUGCACAAUGGGGGAAACCCUGAUGCAGCGACGCCGCGUGAGUGAAGAAGUAUUUCGGUAUGUAAAGCUCUAUCAGCAGGGAAGAAAAUGACGGUACCUGACUAAGAAGCCCCGGCUAACUACGUGCCAGCAGCCGCGGUAAUACGUAGGGGGCAAGCGUUAUCCGGAUUUACUGGGUGUAAAGGGAGCGUAGACGGCAGCACAAGUCUGGAGUGAAAAGCCGGGGCCUAACCCCGGAACUGCUUUGGAAACUGUGCAGCUAGAGUGCAGGAGAGGUAAGUGGAAUUCCUAGUGUAGCGGUGAAAUGCGUAGAUAUUAGGAGGAACACCAGUGGCGAAGGCGGCUUACUGGACUGUAACUGACGUUGAGGCUCGAAAGCGUGGGGAGCAAACAGGAUUAGAUACCCGAGUAGUC